rnacentral:rRNA from 1 species
AUACCGGGCCUUUUUGGGCUUGGUAAUUGGAAUGAGGGAGAGUUAAACGGACCAUCGAGUAUCCAUUGGAGGGCAAGUCUGGUGCCAGCAGCUGCGGUAAUACCAGCUCCAAUAGCGUAUAUUAAUGUUGUUGCAGUUAAAAAGCUCGUAGUUGGACUUGUGUGCGCUGUCCGCGGGUGGCCUGCGCCCAAAAGGGCGUUUCGGUUCGGCCCCGGUGGCGCCUUGAAAUCUGCAGCUGGGGGGACGUUGGCCUUAACUGGUCGGCGACCGCACGCCGGCUGCUCGGUUACUGUGAGAAAAUUAGAGUGUUCAAGGCAGGCAUUGGGUGCAAUUGAAUACAUUAGCAUGGAAUAAUAAAAUAUGGCUCCUGCCGUAUUUUGUUGGUUUUGACUGGUGGGAGUAAUGAUUGAUAGGGACGGUUGGGGGUGCUAGUAUUGAGCGGCCAGAGGUGAAAUUCAUGGAUUCGCUCAAGACUAACUUAUGCGAAAGCAUUCACCAAGGACGUCCUCUUUAAUCAAGAACGAAAGUUGGGGGAUCGAAGACGAUCAGAUACCGUCGUAGUCUCAACCAUAAACUAUGUCGACUUGGGAUCGGCGGUAGUUUUUUCAUUAAGACACUGUCGGGACCACGGGAGAAAUCAAAGUGUCUGGACUCUGGGGGAAGUAUGGUCGCAAGGCUGAAACUUGAAGGAAUUGACGGAAGGGCACCACCAGGAGUGGAGCCUGCGGCUUAAUUUGACCCAACACGGGGAAACUUACCAGGUCCAGAGAUGUAGAGGAUUGACAGAUUGAAGCUCUUUCUUGAUCACUUCGGUGGUGGUGCAUGGCCGUUCUUAGUUGGUGGAGUGAUUUGUCUGGUUAAUUCCGUUAACGAACGAGACCUCAGCCUGCUAGUGUAGUCGGCUGGAUUGCCUUUGGCGAUCCGUGAUUUCGACUUCUUAGAGGGACAAUCGACGCGCAGUCGAUGGAAGUUUGAGGCAAUAACAGGUCUGUGAUGCCCUUAGAUGUUCUGGGCCGCACGCGCGCUACACUGCUGGGCUCAGCGAGUUUUACUUGGCCGAGAGGCCCGGUUAAUCUUGUGAAAUCCCAGCGUGCCUGGGCUCGCCUCCUGCAACUGGAGGCGCCAACGAGGAAUUCCUAGUAGACGCAGGUCAUCAACCUGCAUCGAUUACGUCCCUGCCCUUUGUACACACCGCCCGUCGUUCCAUAAGAGUGAGGCAUCCGGUGAAUUCUCGGGAGAGCCUGGGCGUGGCCAGCAAUGGUCUGCUCGGGUUUGAACUUGCAUAAACUUGGUGCCUAUGAUUAGGG